AACGAACGCUGGCGGCAGGCCUAACACAUGCAAGUCGAGCGAGGUAGCAAUACCUAGCGGCGGACGGGUGAGUAACGCGUGGGAACGUACCCUUUGCUACGGAAUAGCCCCGGGAAACUGGGAGUAAUACCGUAUGUGCCCUUCGGGGAAGAUUUAUCGGCAAAGGAUCGGCCCGCGUUGGAUUAGGUAGUUGGUGGGGUAAUGGCCUACCAAGCCGACGAUCCAUAGCUGGUUUGAGAGGAUGAUCAGCCACACUGGGACUGAGACACGGCCCAGACUCCUACGGGAGGCAGCAGUGGGGAAUCUUAGACAAUGGGCGCAAGCCUGAUCUAGCCAUGCCGCGUGAGUGAUGAAGGCCUUAGGGUUGUAAAGCUCUUUCAGAUGGGAAGAUAAUGACGGUACCAUCAGAAGAAGCCCCGGCUAACUCCGUGCCAGCAGCCGCGGUAAAGUACAGUGU
rnacentral:rRNA from 1 species